rnacentral:rRNA from 1 species
AUUGAACGCUGGCGGCAUGCCUUACACAUGCAAGUCGAACGGUAACAGGUCUUCGGAUGCUGACGAGUGGCGAACGGGUGAGUAAUACAUCGGAACGUGCCUAGUAGUGGGGGAUAACUACUCGAAAGAGUGGCUAAUACCGCAUGAGAUCUACGGAUGAAAGCAGGGGAUCGCAAGACCUUGUGCUACCAGAGCGGCCGAUGGCAGAUUAGGUAGUUGGUGGGAUAAAAGCUUACCAAGCCGACGAUCUGUAGCUGGUCUGAGAGGACGAUCAGCCACACUGGGACUGAGAAACGGCCCUGGCUCCUACGGGAGGAAGGAGUGGGGAAUUUUGGACAAUGGGCGCAAGCCUGAUCCAGCAAUGCCGCGUGCAGGAUGAAGGCCUUCGGGUUGUAAACUGCUUUUGUACGGAACGAAAAGCCCCGGGUUAAUACCCUGGGGUCAUGACGGUACCGUAAGAAUAAGCACCGGCUAACUACGUGCCAGCCGCCGCGGUAA